GUGCCAGCAGCCGCGGUAAUACGAAGGGUGCAAGCGUUACUCGGAAUUACUGGGCGUAAAGCGUGCGUAGGUGGUUCGUUAAGUCUGAUGUGAAAGCCCUGGGCUCAACCUGGGAAUUGCAUUGGAUACUGGCGGGCUAGAGUGCGGUAGAGGGUAGUGGAAUUCCCGGUGUAGCAGUGAAAUGCGUAGAGAUCGGGAGGAACAUCCGUGGCGAAGGCGACUGCCUGGACCAGCACUGACACUGAGGCACGAAAGCGUGGGAGCAAACAGGAUUAGAUACCCUGGUAGUCCACGCCCUAAACGAUGCGAACUGGAUGUUGGUGCAACUUGGCACUCAGUAUCGAAGCUAACGCGUUAAGUUCGCCGCC
rnacentral:rRNA from 1 species